rnacentral:tRNA from 1 species
ACAGUGGCCUAAUGAUUAGUGCGUUGGACUCCGGAUCGAGAGGUCCGGGUUCGAGUGUUGGCCGGGGUCAGUG